AAUCUUGCGCAAUGGGCGAAAGCCUGACGCAGCGACGCCGCGUGAGUGAAGAAGGCCUUCGGGUUGUAAAACUCUGUCCUCAGGGAAGAAGCAAGUGACGGUACCUGAGGAGGAAGCCCCGGCUAACUACGUGCCAGCAGCCGCGGUAAUACGUAGGGGGCGAGCGUUGUCCGGAAUCAUUGGGCGUAAAGCGCGCGUAGGCGGCCUUUUAAGUCAGAUGUGAAAGCCCACGGCUUAACCGUGGGACUGCAUUUGAAACUGGAGGGCUUGAGUAUCGGAGAGGGUAGUGGAAUUCCCAGUGUAGCGGUGGAAUGCGUAGAUAUUGGGAGGAACACCAGUGGCGAAGGCGACUACCUGGACGAAAACUGACGCUGAGGCACGAAAGCUAGGGGAGCAAAC
rnacentral:rRNA from 1 species